CAGCCCUAAACGAUGCGCGUUAGGUGUAUCGGUGACCACGAGUCACCGAGGUGCCGAAGGGAAACCGUGAAACGUGCCGCCUGGGAAGUACGGUCGCAAGGCUGAAACUUAAAGGAAUUGGCGGGGGAGCACCGCAACGGGAGGAGCGUGCGGUUCAAUUGGAUUCAACGCCGGACAACUCACCAGGAGCGACGGUUACAUGAAGGCCAGGCUGAUGACCUUGCCUGAUUUUCCGAGAGGAGGUGCAUGGCGUAGUCGUGU
rnacentral:rRNA from 1 species